rnacentral:lncRNA from 1 species
GCAGAUGAAUGGUCUCUCUGGCUACCUUUAGACUUUCUUAUCAGCUUGCAGCUGAGCCCGUGCUUUCCCCACACCCCACUUCGUAAUUUCUGCAUGUUUGGUUGUUCAUUGCAGUGUGUUUGGAAGCAGUUAAACCUGUGGUGCUGUGAAGAAUCUGGCCAGCAUACAGGUUCCCAGCCCUGAAAGUGAUACAGGUGUCAGCACAACCCAGCAGGCUUGACCCAGCUGAUCCACACCUUCCAAAUGUGCCUUUAGAGGCAACUAGAAACACCUGCCCUGCUUAUGAGAUGUUAAAAGUGUAAGGGUUCUCACUAAGGUAGUGCUCUAAGAUUUAGGUAAGGUGACUGUGACUGUCUCUGUUAUGAGGAGCUAGGCAGGCUGGUGCUCUGGUCUUGCUUGUGAUGCCAUAUGCAGCAGAAAUCAGAGCUGUCUUCUGGCAAAAAGGCUCAAAGGUCCCGCUGAAGGAGCAGAAAACAAGCUGGGAUUGUUCCACCUGCAUAGCUGGCCUUCAGCUUUCAUGUAGCCACACACUCUCUGCAAUACCAGGGGGACCCACCUGUGCCUCCAGCGCUGCCAUGUCUUGGGACAGAAAUGAAGCGCCUUGCUCAGCCACCAGUGUGGUGUUCAAGCUGGAGGACAAUGCACAGUACGAGUUCCUCGUUGUGUGUCCCACUGCCAGAACGGUGCAGAGACCCACAGGGGAUGCCCUGAAUGCAGCUUAGGAAGAUGUGGGGUCCUGUGGUGAGAGGCAUGUCCCAUGUGUUGGGGUGUGUGACCGGGUGUGGAGCUGAAGCUGGCCCUGACCCUCCAUCGUGGUGGAACUGGGAGCAGGCUCCUUGCUGCUUGGAGGAGGGACAGAGGGAACCCAGAGCUCAGCACUGCCUCAGAGAUUGUUGCCAAGAGGCUAAUCGUCUCCUUGCGGAGGCACUAGUGGAAGUGAUUGAGACGAAGGGGUGUCACAUCAUCUUGAUGCUGAAGAGCAUUUGUGGAAGGAAGGAUGAAGGUCUCUGUUCGCAUGUACAUGCGAGCUUGGAGAAUGCACCAGGAAGGAUCCAAAUGAAGAGGAGGUGGGAAGCAGAGUUACAAAGCACCUAAGAAAGCCUCAAAUACACGAGUGGGAGGAAGGAGGAAGAAAUGAAGGAAUAAUGAAGCUUGCAUCACUGGGAGCAAACAGAGGAAGGGAAAUGCACAUACUUGUGGCUAAAUUCUGCAGGAACUUAGGCUGAGGUUUAAAGCUGCUGCGGUUAGCACAGAUACAGGCGCAGAGCAAUUCAGACGACCUGAUCAAAGGACAAAGAAACGCUGCUGCUGCUUUCAUUAGGAAAAUUACCUGGCUUGGAGUUAAUGGGUAUGUACAGGAAAAAGUGCUUUCUUUAUAGCGUUGACACGGAGUAGACCUGUGAAGGGUAAUCAGCACCUGCAGUGCCUACAAUGACUGUGAUUUGGGGAUUCCUUGAGUGGGGCCAGGACUUUGCCAUUCACGGAGGCUCCCGUUGGCAUCCGUGCGAUUCCCAGAUGUGGCGAUACUGCAAACAGAUAAUUACACUUUCACAAGCAAUUCGCAGACGCCUUGUUACUGACGUGGUGCCCAGGGCCCCCUGCAUUAGGCGUGCUGACAGCUGAGCCAAAACGCUUCGCUCCCACCUCUCGGGGUGGUUUCAUUAGGACUACACCGGGUGUUUCUACACGGUGAGCAUCGCCAGCAGCCACCAUGCCGACGGCUGCCUACCUGGGCUAGGAGCAAAGCCUGGAAAAACAGAACUGUGAACUUUGCCUGGGGGCCCCCAGGGCUGUGUACACCCCAUGGGACAAACACAGUCUGUCUGCAGUGAAGAGUGAGUUUUGGGGAAGCAGCCAAGGUCACGGCCUUCUGCACAGACAGGCGCACCAGGGACACAGCCGGGACCCCCAGAGGCGGGGGUGCAGAGCAUGUUGUGGCUGGGUGGUUUUUGUGAUUUUCACGAGCAGAAGGGCUGGGCUGCUCCUUUCGACAUCCACCUGGAGAGCCAGAAAAAGGGGCAGCGGAGCCAUCCUUCUGUUCCCACCACAACCACACGCACAAAAAUCCACUUUUUUUUUUUUUUCCCAAAUCUGA